UGAAAUCUCCCACAUGAUAGAAGACUGGUCUUGAAGCCAACCAUAUGACUAUCAAUCUUAUCAUUUGUUUUGAUUGACAAGAAAGUUUUUCAGAAUUUUAUUCAAAAUGGAUGUUUUUCUGAAUCCUGAAAGACGCUUAAUGAGUAUACUCGGAUUUUCUUUACAAGUUCUGUUCAGUUUAAUGAAACUACCAUACGUCUUAACGGAAACAACAACUGAAAUGAUGAAUGACACAACCAUGUAUACUGGCACAACCCCAGCAGAAGAUUGGCAAGGCAAUAAGGAUCAGGAAACGACAUUUGCAGUCACAACAACACCACUACCAACAACAACUGAAGCUACGACUACUACCACCUUACCACAAUCAACCACACCUUCUUUACAGGAACAGGAAGCUUUUCUGACACAUGACAUGAUACAAGGAUUAGCUGCUGGAUUUGGAUUUUUCUUUGGAACAAUUAUAUUAAUCGUUUUAUUGUGGUGUUUAUGUUGCAGUAAUGCCUGCUCUAGGCCGGAUAAACCACAAAAACUAAUGCGCCCAAAAGUAGGCCCAUCUCCCACACCCAAAGGAACGUCAAGAAACAGUUGAAGAUAGGCAAAAGAAUCAAGCAUAUUGAUGCUAAACAUUUAUGUACGGUUGUGAUUCCAAGAUAAUUGUGAUCUACAUGUAUUCAGAUGACCACGAUGCUUUCUUUUAAGGGUGAAAUUUGUGGAUGAAUACCUUUUUUUGAAAUACCGUAAUGUUGGAUCGGUGUCAUAUGAAUCGAUCCAGAUGAUCUAAUUUCACCGAAUCUACAGUCAUUAUAUAUUUUAUAAAAUAUUUGUAAAUAUAAUAAUAAUAUAGCAUAACCUUUAAUCCCUCCAAUCGUCCAUGUAUUUGUUGAAGUGGAUUUUCUGCUGAUAUAGGUGUUUUUAAAUCUGCUGAAUUAUUUUAUAUUUUUUAACUGAGCUACAGUAUUUACUGAUUGUGAAGAGGAUAUUGGACAGUUCUGUUGGUUUUGUUGUCAGAUAAUGUAUAUAUGGAAUGUUUAAAUUGUAGAUAACAUUUUUCGGUUUGGAGGAGGCCAAUAUCAUACACAUGCACGUACAUUGAUUUUGUUAAUGUGCCAAUUUGUAACAUGUUUUGUAAAGCAGGAAUUCGGUGCUUGUAUAUCAGUAUAGUUUUAUAUUCAAAAAUGCUGCUUAUAAACCCGGGAUGGGGUCAUUAAAUUAAUGCAGCAUUUUAGUCCACCCGUAAGUAGUAUUCGCGAUUGCAAAAAGAAUUCUUGCUUUACAAGAGUAGGGCCUAUUAACAUUUCCGCAAUCAAUUUCCGUCAUGUUAAAUGCUGCUGAAAAUAUUUGCUGAAUAUUGUUUAAUAUGGGAUCUUUAAGAUUAUUAUUAGCACUAUUUUUACCUGUUGACUGAUGCCAACUGUUGUUUAUUUAGCGGUUUGAUUAAAUGAAUUGCAGAGUUAAUAUGAUAUACUCUGUACGCCCAGCUUUCUAGUAAUGGUGGUUAACAUUUCAAACUGUUAGGUUUGACUUUAAAAAGGAAAGUAGGGCUUUUUCCUAGUUAGUGUGAAGAAUGAAAUUAGACCCCAAAUUGUGUCAUAAUUUUGGUGCCAUACGUUUUACAAUUUUCGGUCACUUUCCAGCAGUUUGCUACAUUUUGGAUUUGUAAUGUGAUCUGAUUUAUUUUAACAACGUUCUCUAUUAUUUACAAAAUUUGUUAUGGCAACCUUGGCAGAAAACACAUAAACAGGGACAGAGGGGCGCCUUUUUAUGAUGAAAUGUUUUGUGUUCCGGACACUUUUUUUUAAAUUAUAUUUUAGUAUAAUAUAUAUAUACGCUAUAUAUUAACUUUUUCAGAUCAUUGUGGGGCGUAAAAGGUUGAAAAAUACUGCCCUAAGCGAUCUUCUUUUAAACAGUUGUGUUUUCUUCGAAUUGCUUCUAAUUGUACGUGUGACACGUUAGGUUGCAUGUGUCAAAUUACGCCUCUAGUCGUAGUAUAUAGUCGUGAACUCCAGAGUUAUUUCGUGUUAAUUGAAUUCGGAAUCGGACAUUUUAAUUGAAAUUAAUAAACCGUUCGCCACUUCAAAUGAUGAUGAAGGCCUAUGUUAGUUAUCUUCUGAAAGUUGAAGUAAGCGACUUAAACCGUGAACCAAACCAACUUGCAACAAAUUUUUCGCCUUGGGAAACCAAGGACUCCCCUCCCCCUUCUGCCGGAGCAUUUUCAGGCUGACCACACCUAGUUUAGUAGUUUUAUAGUUGACGAUCAUCUUUGCAUCAUGAAAUCUUAAUAGAUCUGGUAGACGUUUUUUUUUUAAAUCAACAUUUCUUUAACUUAAGCCCCUAUCACACCAAAGCACGACCUGAAGCAAAUCAAAUAUUUUGAGUCGCACUGUAAAGCUGGAGAAGGUCUUCUUGGAUCAAACUUUUAGAUAAUAAAUAAUUGUUAUAUUGUAAAUAAGCCUAAUAAUCAUGCUAUAGUGUAUUGUUAUUUUUGUAUUAUUUUGUAAAGCCGACUGUUUGGGGAAAAAGUAUUAGUAGAUAGAAAGAAAACAAAAAGAAUCGUUCAAAUGCGGCUCCAUUUUUUUUAUACGCCGACAUUUUGAUGUGGCCGUAUAUUGGCGCCAAUUCUGCUGCAUUUACAAAAAGUAACCUGUGAAUCAUUCAGUUGAUUUCAUUUUCAAGGCAUAUACACGGGAUUUGUAUGUCGAACUGGGAUAACCACAAUAAAUUUGCUGGACAAUAAUGCUGGCGGUUGGCGAAUUCCGUUGGCUGGCAACCAAAAUUUACCAGUUGGUGUGCCAUAAAAAUGGAGGUUAUGUUCAGCAUUUCCAGAAAUUAGUGUUUUUUGGGUAUUGUUAAAUAGCAAAUAAAUUAUACGCAACUACGCGUAGAAUAUCAGUCUCCUUCACAUAAUGAAGGAAACACGGACUAAAUUGAAAACGCACUGUUGGUAUAUUAAAGGUUGUGAAGCAUAUU